UCAGAAUCUGAAGAAACUAAUUCUGUAUGGAGAAACAAAAAAUCACUCAUUUCUGACGCGAAUAGAUUGUUUUAUUUAGAAAUAAAGGUUCUUCUCUUGUGGGGAACGAUGUACAAAUUUUUGGAAUCCUCUACCAACAGGUAUAAUCCCCCCAGAACUAUGUUUUCUUUCAAGCCUUUCACUAAUCAAUGCAACCUCGUAGGGCAGCUUUUGCUAAAACUCGACCAGUUUCUUGAAAACUUGCUUUAG
rnacentral:rRNA from 1 species